GUUGUGGUUAAAGCUCGUAGUUGAACCUUGGGCCUGGCUGGCCGGUCCGCCUCACCGCGUGCACUGGUCCGGCCGGGCCUUUCCCUCUGUGGAACCCCAUACCCUUCACUGGGCGUGGCGGGGAAACAGGACAUUUACUUUGAAAAAAUUAGAGUGCUCCAGGCAGGCCUAUGCUCGAAUACAUUAGCAUGGAAUAAUAAAAUAGGACGCGCGGUUCUAUUUUGUUGGUUUAUAGGACCGCCGUAAUGAUUAAUAGGGACAGUCGGGGGCAUCAGUAUUCAACUGUCAGAGGUGAAAUUCUUGGAUCAGUUGAAGACUAACUACUGCGAAAGCAUUUGCCAAGGAUGUUUUCAUUAAUCAGGAACGAAAGUUAGGGGAUCGAAGACGAUCAGAUACCGUCGUAGUCUUAACCAUAAACUAUGCCGACUAGGGAUCGGACGGUGUUAUUCAUGACCCGUUCGGCACCUUACGAGAAAUCAAAGUGCUUGGGCUCCAGGGGGAGUAUGGUCGCAGGGCUGAAACUUAAAGAAAUUGACGGAAGGGCACCACCAGGGGUGGAGCCUGCGGCUUAAUUUGACUCAACACGGGGAAACUCACCAGGUCCAGACACAAUAAGGAUUGACAGAUUGAGAGCUCUUUCUUGAUUUUGUGGGUGGUGGUGCAUGGCCGUUCUUAGUUGGUGGGGUGACUUGUCUGCUUAAUUGCGAUAACGAACGAGACCUUAACCUGCUAAAUAGCCCGCAUUGCUCCGGCAGUGCGCUGGCUUCUUAGAGGGACUUUCGGCUCAGCCGAAGAAGUUGAGCAUAACAGUCUGUGAUGCCCUUAGAUGUCUGGGCGCACGCGCGCUACACUGAC
rnacentral:rRNA from 1 species